CUGGAAUAAUACACCGAAAGGGGUACUAAUACCGGAUAAUCUUGCUUUUCAUAAGUUUUGCAAGCAAAGGUGGCCUCUGCAUAUGCUACUGCAUGAAGAGGGGUCUGCGUACCAUUAGCUAGUAGGUGGGGUAAAGGCCUACCUAGGCAACGAUGGUUAGCGGGUCUGAGAGGAUGAUCCGCCACACUGGCACUGGAACACGGGCCAGACUCCUACGGGAGGCAGCAGUGAGGAAUAUUGCGCAAUGGGGGCAACCCUGACGCAGCGACGCCGCGUGAGUGAGGAAGGCCUUCGGGUCGUAAAGCUCUGUCAAAGGGAAAGAAGUGUACAAUGGCUAAUACCUGUUGUAUUUGACGGUACCCUUAAAGGAAGCACCGGCUAACUCCGUGCCAGCAGCCGCGGUAAUACGGAGGGUGCAAGCGUUGUUCGGAAUUACUGGGCGUAAAGGGCGCGUAGGCGGUUUGAUAAGUCAGAUGUGAAAGCCCACGGCUUAACUGUGGAAGUGCAUUUGAAACUGUCAGACUUGAGUACCAGAGGGGAAAGUGGAAUUCCCGGUGUAGAGGUGAAAUUCGUAGAUAUCGGGAGGAAUACCGGUGGCGAAGGCGACUUUCUGGCUGGAUACUGACGCUGA
rnacentral:rRNA from 1 species